rnacentral:rRNA from 1 species
UACAGAGGGUGCAAGCGUUAAUCGGAGUUACUGGGCGUAAAGGGUGCGUAGGCGGACAUUUAAGUGGGGUGUGAAAUUUCUGGGCUUAACCUAGGACUUGCACUUCAAACUGGGUGUCUAGAGCAAGGGAGAGGGGAGUGGAAUUUCCGGUGUAGCGGUGAAAUGCGUAGAGAUCGGAAGGAACACCAGUGGCGAAGGCGGCUCUCUGGCCCAUUGCUGACGCUGAGGCACGAAAGCGUGGGGAGCAAACAGG